GGGGUUGUGGCUCAGUGGUAGAGCACUUGCCUAGCAUGUGUGAGGCCCUGGGUUCAAUCCCCAGCACCACA
rnacentral:tRNA from 1 species